UUCUGUACUGCAGCCUUUAAGGAUGAAUUUCCUCUCAGCAUGAGGUGACAGUUCAAGUUUUCUUUCUGAUCUUGGUAAGAGACCACUGUUCCAUGUGCCUGGAGAUGUGAGGUCAAACUAGCCCUGUUUAUAUGGGCACUGAGACAUCACCGGCUGUAAUCAGUCCUGCUCAGAUCUGUGAAAAUUAGUCAAAGAGAAAAAGAACAAAUGAAAUGACUGAAAUCACAGGUCACAUUGAGCCCCAGGACCCAGGGCCUAUGCCUAUUGUAAUAAAAAUACAAUGCUGUGCAGAAAUAUAAUCUAACAAGGAGCCUGGAUGGUGCAGUGGUAAAUAACGCCAGCCCAAUACUGCUGAGAUACAGCGUUCAAAUCCCCAGCUGUGCUAUCAGCCUGUCUGGCUUCUACAUACAGACAUGACUGGCUAUGUCUGAACAGAACGGAAAAGAACAGAGUUAAACAGAACAGAGCUGAAAAGAACAGCUGAACAGAAUGAAAAAAAAAAAGAAAAAAAAAAAAAGAACUGAUGAUAAGCACAGCACAAAUCUGAACAGAAUAUAGCUGACCUGAACAGAACAGAAAAAAUAACUGAACACCACUGAUAAGAACAGAACCGAGCUGACCUAAACGGAACAGAACAGAACAGAACAGAGUUAAACACAACAGAACUGAUGAGAAGAACAGAACAGUGCUGAGAAAACAGAGGUGAACAGAACAGAGUUAAACAAAACAGAAAAAAGAACGGAGUUGAACAGAACAUUACAGAACUGACCUGGACAGAACAGAACCGAGCUGACCUAAACAGAACAGAGCUGAGCAGAACUACACAGAACUGAACAGAACUGGCCUGGACAGAACAGAACAGAGUUAAACAGAACAGAACUGAUUAGAAGAACAGAACAGUGCUGAGAAAACAGAGCUGAACAGAACUGAUAAGUUCUGGGUGGACUGGUGUCGGCCAGUUACGGAGAUGAAGACGUCAGAGCCGAGGAGAGAAACCAGAAAGAUUCGGGGAACGAGGAGAGUGAGGAGGACGACGAGGGCGACAAACAUUCUUUUCACUUCUGAUCCUAAAUCAAGACCAAACCCCGGGUAGAGGAGCUGAGUGAACGUGGUCUGAACUCUGUGG